rnacentral:snRNA from 1 species
AUCCUCACUUUGGCAGGACAUAUACUAAAACAAUGCAGAGAAGACUAGCAGGGUCCCUAUGCAAAUUUGUCAAGUGUUCUAUAUUUUU